UUUUUUUUUUUUUUUUUUUUUAAGCUGAGCAUUAAAACAAUGUUGGAGUUCCCACUGCGGUGCAGCUGAAAUGAAUCCGACUUGUAACCAUUAGGUUGCGGGUUCCAUCCCUGGCCUCUUUCAGAGGGUCAGGGAUCCUGCAUUGCUGUGAGCUGUGGUAUAGGCAGGCAGCUACAGCUCUGAUUUAGUCCCUAGACUGGGAAUUUCCAUAUGCCAUGGUUGCGGCCCUUAAAAGAUAAAACAAACAAACAAAAAAUAGUAAUAGUCAUUAUCAAGGCAGCAGCAGCAUCACAGCACAAAGGUCUUCUUUCUCCGUAGGAGAAUAAGCAGCUCAGUUUUAGAGAUAUAUAGUAGAUGCUAAUUAAAUAUUUGAUGAAAUGAAUGAACUUUGAAGAUACUGCUAUUAGUGACAAUUGUCCAAAUGAUGCUCUGUUUUUUAUACCCAUAAGUAAAACAAAAAGUUUAAUAUAAUGUUCAUUACUAGUAAAUUCUUACAAGUAGAAUAUUUGAUUUCAACAUAAUUUCAAAACAUUUAAGUUUUACUUCCCUCUAAAUCGUGACCAUGUGAAGACAAAAUAUAAGUGACUGCUUUUUCCCAGAGAUUAGAAUACCAAGGGAAAGUUAAAAAUUGAUAUGAAACCCAUUGAUGAAACAAAAGUAUGUAACAAAUCUUUAAUUUCAUCAGCUCACAUUUGCCUAAAUUUUGGGAAUAGGUGGUUGGAGUUGGAUAACAAAAUUUUGAUUUGAACAUAGUAAAAUUAACUGCAACUUAUUUAAAAGGGUUAAAACCUAGCAUAUGUUUAUUAAUGUUAGACUUCUGGGAUCCCCUACUGUUAGGAGCCACGACACUGUUAUUAUCAAGCAACACAUCUCAGUCCAAAUUAGGUCUUUGGGAGAAAUAGUUGACUUGGUGAUGCUUUAUGGCAUCAUGGGAGUAAACAGCACAUUUUCCCACACCAGCUCAUAGAGCAAACUCUCACAAAAUUCUAUGCCCUUCAAUAGUGUAUUUCACAACUUCUUCAAGCACAGCUUUUUCCAAUAAUAAAUGAUAUUUAUCCCAAAACUGAGAAAGAGCAUUAUCAGAAAAGACACAAGGGGAAGGGUUACAAAUGCAGCAUUAUCUACCCUCCUUCAUUUGAAUUUGAAGGUUCGAAGUUGUUUGUUAUCUGAGUUCUAAAUUCAGCAAUCUUCCUUCCCCAAAUAUCCAAAAAUGUUGACUAUAUGUAGAGUCUAGAAGUAUUAUUUUACUGUAGCCAAAUUAUAGAAGGAUGUUGCAAACAGCUUCACAAAUGUAUGUCACCAAAUAGAAUUAUUCACCAAAAAGGCACUAUUUAUAAAGGAAAACAUUAAAAAAAAAGAAAUAGUAAAAAUGGCAUCUUAAACACAGACUUUAAAACAGUUUAUCACUGUAGCUCCUUGUAUUUGUGUUACCCUUGCCAUAUACAUCCUUUGCAUUAAAAAAUUCACAAAUUAGAGUGAAUGAGUUCUUGGCACACUACUUAAAAAAAAAAAGCUUUCUUGAGACAUAAUUCACAUACCAUAAAAAUCACCACUCUGAAGUACACAGUCAAGUAGUUCUUAGUAUAUUUAUCAAAUUAGGUAACCAUCAUCACAAUAUAAUUUUAAACAUUUUAUCACCCUAGAAGGAAACCCCACAAGCAUUAAAUGCCACUUCACACACCCAUAUGUAGCCCUAACCAACCACUACAUAUUUUUGGUCUCUAUGGAUUUGUCGUAUUUAGACGUAUCCCCUAAAUGAAAUAAUACAAUAUGUAGUCUCCACUCAAUUUUUAUACAAUUUCCCCAUAGUUUUGUCUCUAGUCAACAUAGAUAAAUCUUCCCAGAAUGGUAAAAUCACACAGUAUCAAUCCAUAAAUGUUUUAAAGAUCAAACGCUAGAUAUUGUAAUUUAUUCGUUCUUUCCUUAAUAUUAUUAUUCACUUCGCUCAUUUUCUCCUAAUGCUGAGAUUUCUUAUAUUUAUAAUAUUGGUUUUGGUCACUGGUUUCUUCUUUUCUAAUUCCUUGGAAAUCAUCAGUUAUUUUGCUACAGGAUAAAAUGAAUGUAGUGACUUUCUAAUUCUCCCUUUAACUGUACAUUUGGAAAAUCUGAAGCAAAAACCUAACCCUCAAGAACACAUUAUCCUGGUUUAAUACUCAACAGGUAUGGAGAAAAGAAUAAACUUCAUUUAAAAUAACCACCUGAGGUUUUAUGAAGAGGAAAUUACAAGAAAAAAUGUUUGCGGAAUUAUUUGAAAGAAAUUAAAUGUUUGCAGUAAGAGUUGUUGCAGGUUACAUUUCUUAGGACUUCUACUAAAUUCAAAGAAUGUUUGAAAGGCACAAAUACUUGGCAAAUUUAACUAAAGAGUGACAAAAUAAUUCAAGAACCAGUUUGACCAAUUCCUUUCCUUGCUUAGAUAUUGCCUUCAACUGUGGUCUGGAGUAGCUAUACAUAAGUUAUUUAUUUAUUGCAGUGAAGCUAACUAUUAUGGGAUAGAACACCUUUCAUAAUUUGGCAUCUGAAAACAAAACUAUCUUUAAGACGAUAGAAUCGCUCUGUAUGAGUGGCUCUGCUUUAGAGGACAGAGUUCAAGCUGUGAUGACAAAAUGUGUUAGUCUGAAACUCGCAAUAUUAGCUAAGUAUCAUCUAGUGCUUGAAAAAGACUUGAUAUAUGAGGUAGGAUGUCAGUCUUGCACCCCCUUCCUCACUGGCAUCCCAAAACUAUGUCACCCAUUAUCCUCUAUUCAUUUCUCUAUGGUAAAACUCAAAGUCCUUAACAUCUUGCCCUAAACUUACUCCUCUCCUUCCCACAUGCGCCCCGUCUUCCAGAAACAAAAUGUCAUUCACUGUCCCCAAACAAUUGAAGAUGUCUCAUGCCUUCACAGCUUUCAUUGCAGAUACUGUUUUUCCAAUAACUACUUCUCCCUGCCCACAUAUGCCUGGUAAAUUUGUAUUAAUAUUUUGAGUCAUAAUUCAGAUAUCAUCUUCUCUUUGCAGUGAUUUACUCCCUGCAGUGAUUUACAACCCAUUUACUCCCUUCUCUAAUAUCCUACCCCAUUGGAGUAUUUGUGUCCUUAAAGCGUGCACACACACACACACACACACACACACACACUGCAUCUUGCCUGUUUCUUUACAUGUCUGUAUUCAUGGACAAAUUCACUGGAUUUUUAAGUUCUUUGGUCAUAACAAUUUAUUUCUGACUUUCUAAUAACUUGCAUAGGUCAUGGUAGAUUAACUGUGUUAAAUAUAUGUUUGCUGACUAAGUUAACAAUAAACAAAUGGAUGCUAAUCCUUUCUGAUAAUACUUGAACUAUCCUUGUAUUCACCUUAAAUGUAUCUGCACUAUUUUAAAAAUUAUAAACAUGAAAUCAUUUUUCUGGUUAUUAAUGGUAGAAGAAAAGUUUGUUUAAACCUAUUUUCCUUCUUCAAAAUCUAUUGAGAGCCAGUAUUCCCAAUGAUGGAAGUAUCAGCAACAACCCAAACACACUGCCACUACCUCCGACCACUAUCAGGUGUGAGCUAGAGAAUAGCCUGAGAGCUGAAGUAGCACAACACACACCUGAAAGCAAGAGUCCCCCUGAUGGCAGUUUAUCUCAUUAUCCUUGCAGCAGAGUGAAGAUACCUGAGCUAUAAGACACCCAGUACUAAAUCAGGAGCUAUCUGUGUGGCAGCCUAGUUCCUUCUCCCUAUUUCACAGUGUGUGUGAUGCUGAAGGAGAAACCAUGCUGAAGUUAUUUUUAUGGUCUGUAAGUGAACCUUCUAUGUAGUGGGGAGUACUGCACGUUAAGAGGGGUGAAGGAAGGAAAGGAAGCAGCUAUCACCAGAUCUCAAUUCAAAGUGCUAGGGGUCUCAAGGAGACUGACAAGACCUGUACCAACCCACCACUGCUUAAGUGCUGAUGCUUGAGGGAGUCGGGCUGGGAGUGGGCUUCUGCCAGAAGGAAAUAGCCAGCUUAUGAGUACUCAAGGCAAUACUGAAUGUUGGCACAUUUUCUUACUUGUUCCAUUAUUUGCCUAUUGGGCAGUACUUAACAUAUAGGCUGUGAUUGCUUCAACAUAACUCAUAAGCAAGGGGAUAAAACACAUGGCCUUGGGAUUGGAAACUAUAAAAGAAGAGAAAGACACUUUGAAAGCACACAAAUGGAAGAAUUACUUGUAGGGAUAAAACAAGAUUUCAGACAAAUAGUUGUUCAAGGUCAAAGAACCUUUCUCUUUUAAAAAGAGCGUGACAAGAUAGGAUAUUAUAACAAUGUAAUAAAAAUAAUUGAAACCCAAUCCAAGAUGUACAACAUAGGCUUCAAAAAAAUCACUUAAUGUCUCUGAGUCUGCUUCUAGUUUGUAGAUAGGCUUAUAGAGAACAGACUUUUGGUUGCCGAGGGGAGGGGCAAGGGAGUAGGAUGAAUGGGGAGUUUGAGGUUGUUAGAUGGAAAUUAAUACAUUUAGAAUGAAUAAGCAGUAAGGUCCUACUGUAAAGCACAGGGAACUAUAUCCAGUCUCUUGGGAUAGAACAUGGUGGAAGAUAAUAUGAGAAAAAGAAUGUAUAUAUGUAUGACUGGGUCACUAUGCUGUACAGCAGAAAUUGAUAUAACACUGUAAAUUAACUAUACGCUAAUAAAAAUUAAUUUUAAAAAACUGUCUGAAUGCACUAGAAAAAAGAAAAAGAAAAAAAUCUUAAAAGAAAGUUAUAAAGAUAAAAAUGACUCUCUGUGGAAAACAAAGUAAAACAAAGCAUAUUUGAAUUUUCAAGAAGAUGUAAAGAGGGAAAUAAAUCCCUAAAAUAAAGACUGUAAUCCACGCACUGAAAGACCAUACUAAAUCCUAAGAAAAAUGUAUUAUAAUACAUUUGAGUCUAAUGGAAGUGGAAUGAAAUCUAAGCUUAUCUUUUAUUGCUAGAAGUCCAUGUAUAUUGUCUGAAGUCUAAUUAGGUAGUUUAAAAGUGACGUGAAACUCUUACUAUUUAUCAAAAUUUUACCUGACCUUUACAGGGCUUAUUUAAAAAUAAUAUUUUAUCUGUUUAAGAAACAAUACUUGCAUUUUAACCAAUAUUUUCAGGGUACAGAAAAUUAUAUUGCUUCCGUUAAAUAUAAAUGAAUUUUAUUAGAAUAGUUUUUAAAUCUAAAAUGUAGCAUAAUUCAAAAUUUAAAUGUAGUUAACUUAUCUAUCUAUCUAUCUUAAUAUUUAUUUAGGGAGUUCCCAUUGUGGCUCAGCAGAAACUCAUCUGACUAGUAUCCAUGAGGAUGCAGGUGUGAUACCUGCCUUCACUCAGUGGGUCAGGGAUCUGGCAUUGCCAUGAACUGUGGUAUAGGUCGCACACACGACUCAGAUCCCAUGUUGCAGCUAUUGCUCUGAUUCAGCCCCAAACCUGGGAAUUUCCAUGUGCCAUGUGUGCAGCCCUAAAAAAAAAGAGGAAAAAAAAUUUAUUUAACCUACCUGCUUACUUGUCUUUCCUUUUAUCUGCAUACAUGAUUUGAGAAAUGAAUAGAAUUGUGUUCAUCCAUUGUUAGCUGUGGUGAUUUCAUAUGAUAGAAUACGGAAUCAACUUAAGAAAUGAAGUUUGAUUGCUUCUUUGUCCUGUUAGCUUUUUUAAUAUUAGCAUGCAUUAUGUGUAAAAACAUUUUACAAGUACAUAGUAUAUACUUUAUUAGGAUAUUUAAAAUAUCGAGCAAUUUCGACCUCACUCUAACUUUUUAAAAAAGUUAUUUUAGUAUUUCCCAGAGUGUGUAACACUUAUAUAAGAAGGUUAUAUGCAAAAACUCUUUUGUCAUAAAAUAAUUUGGGGACAUUAUAGUUGAUUUACAAUAUUGUGUU
rnacentral:lncRNA from 1 species